rnacentral:rRNA from 1 species
GCAGCCUGCAACUCGGCUGCAUGAAGCUGGAAUCGCUAGUAAUCGCGGAUCAGAAUGCCGCGGUGAAUACGUUCCCGGGUCUUGUACACACCGCCCGUCACACCAUGGGAGUAGGUAAUGCCCGAAGUCGGUGACCUAACCGGAAGGAAGGAGCCGCCGAAGGCAGGACUUAUAACUGGGGUGAAGUCGUAACAAGGUAAC